rnacentral:rRNA from 1 species
ACUAACGCUGGCGGCGCGCCUAACACAUGCAAGUCGAACGAUGAAGCAGAGCUUGCUCUGUGGAUUAGUGGCGGACGGGUGAGUAACGCGUAGGUAACGUGCCUUCUCGCUGGGGACAACAGUUCGAAAGGACUGCUAAUACCGAAUAUUUUCGCUUAUGAUUAGUUUGCGAAGAAAGGAUCUUUUGAUCCGUGAGAAGAGCGGCCUGCGUCCUAUUAGUUGUUGGUGGGGUAAUGGCCUACCAAGGCACCGACGGGUAGCUGGUCUGAGAGGAUGAUCAGCCACACUGGAACUGGAACACGGUCCAGACUCCUACGGGAGGCAGCAGUGAGGAAUUUUGCGCAAUGGGGGAAACCCUGACGCAGCAACGCCGCGUGGGUGAAGAAGGCUUUCGGGUCGUAAAGCCCUGUCAGGUGGGAAGAAACUCUUCAGCACUAAUAAUGCUGAAGUCUGACGGUACCACCAGAGGAAGCACCGGCCAACUCCGUG